AGGUCUGACAUGACAUACAACCAGAGGAGGUCUGACAUGACAUACAACCAGAGGAGGUCUAACAUGACAUAGAACCAGAGGAGGUCUAACAUGACAUACAACCAGAGGAGGUCUAACAUGACAUACAACCAGAGGAGGUCUAACAUGACAUACAACCAGAGGAGGUCUAACAACCAGAGGAGGUCUAACAUGACAUACAACCAGAGGAGGUCUAACAUGACAUACAACCAGAGGAGGUCUAACAACCAGAGGAGGUCUAACAUGACAUACAACCAGAGGAGGUCUAACAUGACAUACAACCAGAGGAGGUCUAACAUGACAUACAACCAGAGGAGGUCUAACAUGACAUACAACCAGAGGAGGUCUAACAUGACAUACAACCAGAGGAGGUCUAACAUGACAUACAACCAGAGGAGGUCUAACAUGACAUACAACCAGAGGAGGUCUAACAUGACAUACAACCAGAGGAGGUCUAACAUGACAUACAACCAGAGGAGGUCUAACAUGACAUACAACCAGAGGAGGUCUAACAUGACAUACAACCAGAGGAGGUCUAACAUGACAUACAACCAGAGGAGGUCUAACAUGACAUACAACCAGAGGAGGUCUGACAUGACAUACAACCAGAGGAGGUCUAACAUGACAUACAACCAGAGGAGGUCUAACAUGAC